rnacentral:rRNA from 1 species
AACUUAAAGGAAGUUGACGGGGGCCCGCACAAGCGGAGGAACAUGUGGUUUAAUUCGAUGAUACGCGAGGAACCUUACCUGGGCUUAAAUGGGGAGUGACAGCUGUCGAAAGAUGGUUUUCUUCGGACACUCUUCAAGGUGCUGCAUGGUUGUCGUCAGCUCGUGCCGUGAGGUGUCGGGUUAAGUCCCAUAACGAGCGCAACCCUUACCGUUAGUUACCAUCAGGUUAAGCUGGGGACUCUAGCGGGACUGCCACCGUAAGGUGAGAGGAAGGUGGGGAUGACGUCAAAUCAGCACGGCCCUUAUGUCCAGGGCUACACACGUGUUACAAUGGCCGGUACAAAGGGCAGCUACUUCGCGAGAAGAUGCUAAUCUCGAAAGCCGGUCUCAGUUCGGAUCGAAGUCUGCAACCCGACUUCGUGAAGCUGGAUUCGCUAGUAAUCGCGCAUCAGCCAUGGCGCGGUGAAUACGUUCCCGGGCCUU